ensembl:lncRNA
ACGCAAUAGGCUUCAAUUAAACACCAUUUUCAAAAUAGUUCUCCCUCAGUGUGGGCUGAUGGGGUUUGGAAAAAGCGAAGCGAGGCGUGUGACUUGGCCAGACCGUCACACAUUCCUUAAAAGUAGCCAUGGACUGUGGAUAUGAUGUGGUCAGAAGGAACACAGGAACACCCUUUUUCAUACUUCUCUGAGUCUGGGAUUUUAAUUUAACUGGGUGGACACAUGCACACUACCUACUCCGUGUCUUUUGAUACGUAUGCAACCAAGUUACAUGCCGGGGCACAGAUAAGUUCAUAUCUGCCUCUCUGUCUAAAUAACAUCGUACAUAAAUCGACAUAAACCUGUCAGUCGUUUCAUUUAUUGUCUUCAUUAACAAUUAAUGUUGCCUUGGAGUCAGUUCAGAGCACUUGGAGGACCUUUGCACCACAGAAAACUAGAAGCAGUAGGAACUAUAAAACUGAUAGGGGUUAAAGUUACAGUAUAAGAAAUAAAACUGAAUUAUUGGGCAGUUGUGAAAUGAGUUUAUUUUUUUAUUUUUUUUAUUUUUUUUAAGACUUUAGAAAUCAGAGCGUUUACCAUUUCACCAGAUGGUCACUACACAGUUGCAAGAACUCAUCAAAGUAUAUUUUUAUGACAGGGACUAGAAAAAUUGCUUUUCUGGCCACAUAACACAACAGGAACUAUUCACAUACUCAUGGAAGUGGGGAUCUAUUCACAAAGAAUUAUUUUCCCACCAAAUAAACAGUCAUUUUUUUUCCAUAUGAUUACAAUUUAACAGCCCACACCAUGGAGGCUAUGUUUUUGAUAGCGUUGUCAUUCAUCCACCAAGGUCUUCUGGCUUAACUUGAUGAUUUAUUCGUUGAAAACUGAAUGCUUCUUGUUACCAAUGCAACUUUUAAUCUAAAAAGAGUUUUAUCAACAAUUUUUAAAAAUGCUAAGUUUAUUAACAAGCUGAGCUGCUGGAGCGCCUGUGACUCAGGAUGACUCAGGAGGUAGAGCAGGUCAUCUACUAAUUGAAAGGUUGGUAGUUUCUCCUGGCUGCUCCAGUCUGCAUGCUGAAGUAUCUUUGGGCAAGAUGCUGAUACUUCUACACGACAUCGUCUCAGCCUGGCUAUGUGCUAAAAUCUCAGUUUCUGCAAGAAAUUACAUAAUUAUGGAUAACUGAUGUAAAUAUGCCCUGGGAUAGCAACUGGUUUUGUUUUGUUUUGUUUUGUUUUGUUUUGUUUUGUUUUGUUUUGUUUUGUUUUGUUUUGUUUUGUUUUGUUUUGUUUUGUUUUGUUUUGUUUUGUUUUGUUUUGUUUUGUUAAUCUUGAUUAUUCCGUACAUUAUUUGUAACAUUAAGUGCAGAAAAAUAUAAAGCUUUAUUGACAUUUCAAAAGACAGCCACUCCUGGACAUUUCUGAAGAACUCAACUUGUCACCUUUCACUACAAAUGCAGGUUCAUCAGGAAAACGCAUUAAGGUAGCUUAAGUCACUGAAUGGAUGAUUAGCUAUGACACUGGCUAUAAAUACUGGAGUGUUACUGUUUAACUAUUACACUAUUCCAACUGUAGGAUAUGCAAUCAGCAGGAUUA